AGUGUACAGCACUGUGCUGAAAACGCCAUGAAAGCAGUGUUUGAACCAAAACAGAACAAUCGUGGGCCAGACAGCUAAACAAUGAGCUGAAACUCAUUAUAAACCUCUGUAAAGCCAAGGAGCUGCAGAUUCAGCUUCAGUCACAUUAAACAACUGGAUGGACUAGGAAUGCUGUAUCAAUCCCCGCCUGCUAACUCCUCACCCAGGAGACGCUGUGGAGGCGGAGCCAGGACUAAUCAAAACUGCAGGGCAGCUCUUUGCAGGAUCCAAUGGUUUCUCUGAGGAACAGAAGCCUGGGAUGGAGGCGAGGUGACCUCAGAUGAAACUAGCUCAACCCCCGACCACUUAGACUCGCUCAGGGCAAUGAAGCUGCAGCCAGGCAGAGACAAUACGAAGAAAAAAGCAACUUCAAGGACAACAGAGAUAAAGUGUAUAAAAGUCAGAGGAAACUUUGCUGCAGGAAUUAGGCUGCAUGCGGGGAAGUCAUACAGCUUUGCGGUUGGAUAUUUUUCUCAUUAACAUCCAUGUAUUAGAGAAGGCCAG